CAGUCGCCGCGGGAAUACGUAGGUGGCAAGCGUUGUCCGGAAUUAUUGGGCGUAAAGGGCUCGCAGGCGGUUUCUUAAGUCUGAUGUGAAAGCCCCCGGCUCAACCGGGGAGGGUCAUUGGAAACUGGGAAACUUGAGUGCAGAAGAGGAGAGUGGAAUUCCACGUGUAGCGGUGAAAUGCGUAGAGAUGUGGAGGAACACCAGUGGCGAAGGCGACUCUCUGGUCAGUAACUGACGCUGAGGAGCGAAAGCGUGGGGAGCGAACAGGAUUAGAUACCCCGGUAGUCCCUGUCUCUUAUAC
rnacentral:rRNA from 1 species